UUCAAUUUGAUAUAUAGCCCAACGUUCAGUGUUGAGUAUUUCUGCUCAUAACUCAGAAAAACUAAAAUGCAUUGGCUUCAAUUUCCCCCCCUGAGUUAGCCUUCCAGUUUAUUUAUAGUUCAAUGGGCUACAUCAAAAGUUUUUGGCGGGAAAACAAGAUGGCGCCCGUUUACUUUGUGUGAUUCAUAGAAAUAGCCGGUCUACUAUUUCUUUGGUGUGAUUCAAAAGGCAUUUUUGUGAACGAAAUACCCGCUUAUUUUACGUUAUAACGACUGGCUAGUUAUGGAAAUGAUAACUCAAUAUUGUGAUGGUAUUUGUUAAUGUUGUGAAAUUCGACCAUGGAUAAAGAGACAACAAUUGGGCUAUUCCAAUUAUUAUCCGCACCCCCCUGUUGAGGAACCAUGGAAUUUCCAGGGGAGGGGGUGUAUUACCCUUGGAAUUUCCAGGGGAGGGGGUGUAUUAACCUUGAAAUUUCCAGGGGAGAGGUACAUUAACUUUAAAUUUCCAGGGGAGGGAAUACAUUAACCCUGGAAUUUCCAGGGGAGGGGGUGCAUUAACCCUGGAAUUUCCAGGGAAGGGGGCAUUCGGGCUCUGGAUUUCCAAGGGGAGGAGUAAUUCUCACAUGGAAUUUCCAAAGGGAGGGGUAAAUUUGAUGGGAUGGAAAUUCCAUGGGAGGACAAUUAUGUUAGAGGGAAAUGUCCAGAAGUAAAUGUCCCAUAAUGGAAAUUCCAUAGGGAGGGGUAAUUUACACAUGGAAAUUCCAUGGACAGGGCCUAAUUUAAAAUGGAAAUUCCAUGGGGAAGGGUAAUUUUUACAAGGAAAUUCCAUGGGAAGGGGUAAAUUUUAGAUGAAAAUUUACGGAAAUUCCAGGGGAGUACCGACAUGAGAAAGGGGUUCCUCAACAGGGGGGGGGUGCAGAUAAUAAUUGGAAUAGCCCAUUGAAUGAAAGAACACCCUGUCUUAUUGUAAAUGGUAAGUUUUUAAAGGUUUUCACUUUUCGGUAAUAUUUUUUUAUAGUUAGACCCUUUAAGUGGCAAUGCGCCAUGAUGCGCCCUACUUUAGUAUUUUACUCUGUCUAACGCCAGAGUAUUUUACUCUGUCUAAUGCCAGACAAUUUUACUCUGUCUAACGCCAGACAAUUUUACUCAUCAAGUGGAGAGUGCCGCCACUCUAUGGGUUAAAGCUCAAUCUUCUCUCGAAUCUAAACUUUGGUAGAGUCAUAGAUAUCUUAUAUACACUAGAUAGUGCAUCUAAUUAUUCUGCAAUUCAAAAAUUGAAGCCGUGAUUGCAGUCUCAGGUCGUUCCCAUGAAAUGAGAAGAUUCGUAUGUUUUCCAUUUCUUAAACAGAUAACUUAAACAUUAAGUUAAACCUAUUCCAAAUACAUUUUUAAACUAUUCAAAUGAUGAAAGUUAUUGACUUCUUGUUGUUUUUAAGUGUUUAUUAGCAAGUGGGAAUUACAACCAAUAUGGCCGCCAUCUAUUCAAAUGGGGGUAACCGCUGGAAUAUUCUUGAAUUGGCUUCAAUUUUACUAAAACAGAUGCGCUAUCUAGUGUAUAUAAGAUAUCUAUGCCAUGGGUAGAGUCCAUCGAGGAGUCCGUAGACAAUUUUGGCUAACAUUGUUUUUAACUCAUGGAGCCGCAAUGCGCCCAACUUAUUUUUUUACUUGCCUAACGCCAGAUGAUUUUACUCGUCAAUGUGGAAGCUGUGCAACUUAACGGGUUGACCAAAAAAUCUGACAAUAUCUCUUAAAAUAGUUAACCAAUAAUUGAGCCCCAGUGCACCCUACUUGUUUUUUUUUUACUUGUCUAACGCCAGACGGUUUUAGUAUUUUACUUGUCAAUGGGGAAGCUGCAUGUGCAACUUACUAACAGGUUGAUAAAAAAAUCUGACAAUGUUUCUAUAGUUAACCCAUUGAGCGGCCCAUGCAGUGUGCCCUACUUGUUUUUUUACUUGUCUAAUGCCAGAUGAUUUUAGUAUUUUACUUGUCAAUGGGGAAGUUGUGUAACUUAACAGGUUGACCAAAAAAUCUGACAAUGUUUCAGUGCCGUAGCCAGAACGAUAAUUGGGGGGGGGGGGAUAUUCAUAUAUUCGUGUUCACAUACCAUAAAAACAAUUGAUUUCAAAAGAAAUUAAUAAAGCAGAACAUGCAUGAAUAUAUGAAUAUUUGCCCCCAUUUAUUAUUAGUGUUCUGGCUACUGCACUGCAAUAAUAUUUCUAUAGCUAAUAAUGAUCUUGUUGCCACCUAAUGGGCCACUUCCAUUUAAUAUUCAAUACCCCCCAAUGGAUGUUCAAAAGACUUCAGUAAAAUUUUAAUCCUAGUAGGAAAAAGAUCAAAGCUAGUGCAACACAAAACACCCCUCAGAAAUUUGUAAAUUUUCCCUUACCCCUCAGAAAUAUCGCAGAGAUCAAAGGUGCCAACAGGCUUAACCCCUCAGAAAUAAGUUGCCCUUCAGAAAAAUUCUUCCAUUUUUUCUUUGUUAGAAUUAUAUGAGUUUGGAACACCAUUUAACAUUUGUUUUGUUAAAAAUUAACUUAAAAUAUAUUCAUAAUAUGUGUAUAUUCAAAGUUAUUUUUUAAUAUUAUAUAUUUGAAACAUAGCAAUUAAGACAUCAAUUUAGAUAGCAAGAAAUAAAAAUAUAAUGUACAUAUGCAACUUUUCCAAGGGGUUCCCGCAAGUUUCUUACAUAUGGAGCAUUAAGCUGCAGAGCUUCCCCAUUGAUGAGUGAAAUGGUCUGGCAUUGCACAAGUAAAAAAAGUAGGGUGCACUAGAGCGCAUUGCGGCUCAAUGGGUUAAUAGGUUAACUGCACACAUGAGCAGUCUGAUUAACACAUUGAGUGACAGCGCUCUCCCUAUCUAUCCAUGCAAGUUUUUUACAGUUUUUCAGGCAUUUUAUAUAGAGAAUAAUACAUGUGUGUGUCCGUGCGUGGAAAUACCAGAUUUAUUUUGAGUGUUGAAAAUGAUAUCAUGUUCAACACGAGAAAUAUAUCUGAUAUUUCCAAGCACUCAUGUAUUUUAAUUUUUGUUUAUUAUAUAAAGGACAGUCUUUGAUGAAAAGCGAUAAUUUUUACAGAAAAGCGAUAAUUGAAAAGCGAUAAUUUUCACAUGUGAGAUUAUCAGUUUUAUCAAUGCUUGAAAUCUCUUUCAAAAACUCAUUAAUAAUUCAUAUGAAGCAAUUAUCCAAUCUUGAGUAAGAAAUUAGUCACGUGCAUACGUCUUUAUACCAGCUAAAGAACACUUUAACAAAAGACCAUUGUUAUGCAAACCAUAUAAAAUUUUUAUAUAAAGAUUUUUAUAUAAAGAUUUUUAUAUAAAGAUUUUUAUAUAAAGAUUUUUAUAUAAAGAUUUUUAUAUAAAGAUUUUUAUAUAAAGAUUUGACUUAUUAUGCAAACGUUUUUGAAGCCAUUUAAAAAACUCUCAGGUCAUGUUUUAUUAGCCAGGUCUAAAGCCACUGGUGCGCUUUAAACCUAACAAUUAAAACACUCCUGCUCGUUUUUAAAUAGUACAUAAAGCACAGACUAUACUUUAUACAAUGUUAAAAUGCUGGUAAUAAAUUGCUUUUCAACAGUUUAGUAUUAUAAGGCCACAUAAAAAAAUCUAUUUACAGUAUUUCACCUAUUUAAAUUUUUCUGGGUAGGGUGGGCGGGGUUUUUUCUUUUGUAGAAUGCAACACAAACUUCUGAAAUAUAAGUUUUUUUCGCAGCAUGCAAUACAAAAUUCUGUUACAGGGUGUUUGAAAAGCUAUUAAUGCAGGAAUUCCAGCAUACCAUGUACCACAGUCAAAACUCACUUUAAUUCUUUCAAAAUCCCUUCAUAUUUUUUAAUACCGUUCAUGUUUUAUGAAUAAAACAAAACAUUACAAUGGGCUAUUCCAAUUAUUAUCCACACCCCCCUGUUGAGGAACCCUGUUCUCAUGUCAAGACUUAGCUCCCCUGGAAUUUCCACAAAUUUUCAUGUAAAAUUUACAUGGAAUUUCCUUGUAAAAAUUACCCUUUCCCAUGGAAUUUCCAUUUUAAAUUAGGCCUUCCCCAUGGAAUUUCCAUUUAAAAUUUGGCCCUGCCCAUGGAAUUUCCAUGUGUAAAUUACCCCUUCCUAUGGAAUUUCCAUCAUAUGGGACAUUUACAGUUUACUCCCGGAAUUUCCCUCUAACAUAGUAUGUCCUCCCAUGGAAUUUCCAUCCCAUGAAAUUUACACACUCCUGGGUGCGGAUAACAAUUUACCGAUUUACGCGAACACUUUACCUGCAAACAGGCAUAUUCUUGGAAGGAAAUAUUUCAUGUAAACGUAUUAGAUUACAUAGCUCCUGGAAGAAUGAAAUCAUCAUUUUUUACAAGUAAAACCGUCUUUUUUAUAGAGAGUUUUUGCACUGAACUCGGACAGAUUUUGGAGGAAAAAAAUUGGAGGUCAGGGACUUUUGUCAGGCCGGGCGGAGACACUAAACAAGUAAGUUUUUUUAUGUGGCCUAAAACAGAUUUUUAAAGAGAAAUUCAUGGCAACAUUGCCAGCUGAGUACAUUGC
rnacentral:lncRNA from 1 species